UACGGGGGAGCAAGCGUUGUUCGGAUUUACUGGGCGUAAAGGGCGCGUAGGCGGCCAGCACAAGUCAGUUGUGAAAUCUCCGAGCUUAACUCGGAAAGGUCAACUGAUACUGUGCGGCUAGAGUGCAGAAGGGGCAACUGGAAUUCUUGGUGUAGCGGUGAAAUGCGUAGAUAUCAAGAGGAACACCUGCGGCGAAGGCGGGUUGCUGGGCUGACACUGACGCUGAUGCGCGAAAGCCAGGGAGCGAACGGG
rnacentral:rRNA from 1 species